rnacentral:rRNA from 1 species
UGAUCGGGCUGAGGGCUGCCCCCUCUUCCCCUCACUCUCCUUUCCCUAAGCUUAAUGCCCUUGAGUCAUUAAAGCCUUUCUUACUUGGCCUGGCCCGGUCACCCUAAGCAACUGGCGCUUCAAAAGGUGAAACUCUCAUCGUAGUUUGGCGACCUAUCUUCAAUAGGGGCCUUUAGUCUUUUGAUUAGAGUAGGCGUCACGAGAGAGUAGAGCAUAGCGCACUGCCAUAGCCAUGAGUCUGUUUAUAGUCGCGACUGUUGUCAUAGUUAACAAGGUUUAAACUUUCAGGAAGAAACUUCGAAUUGAGAGGGCGAUCCUCCCGGUGAACUGACCGUAUCCCAAACCGACACAGGUACACAAGUAGAGUAUACUAGGGCGCUUGAGAGAACCAUGUCGAAGGAACUCGGCAAAAUGACCCCGUAACUUAGGGAGAAAGGGUGCUCUCUUAUCUUUUGAUUAGGAAAGCGGCACAUGCGAGGGGGUAGCGACUGUUUAUUAAAAACACAGGACUUUGCUAAGUGGUAACACGAUGUAUAGAGUCUGACACCUACCUGAUGCUAGAAGGUUGGAAGGAGAAGUGUUAUACUGUUAUAAGCUUUGAAUGGAAGCUCGGUAAACGGCGGCAAUAACUCUAACUGUCUUAAGGUAGCGAAAUUCCUUAUCGCAUAAGUAGAGACCUGCACGAAUGGUGUAACAACUGCCCUACUGUCUCCGACAUGGACCCGGUAAAAUUAAAUUCUCCGUGAAGAUGCGAAGUACCAACAGCUAGACUGUAAGACCCCGUGCACCUUAACUAUAGUUUCGCAGUGAAAAACUUGAUCGAAUGUGUAGGAUAGGUGGGAGGUGGUGACACACAACGACCAAUCCUAAAAGACCACCUUUCAUCUCACCGGUCAUUUGGGGGGAGGCGGGACAAUGUGAAGUGGGUAAUUUAUUUGGACAGAUGCCUCCUAAAGAGUAACGGAGGUGUGCAAAGAUAAGCUCAAGCUAAUAUUAAUGGUAUAAGCCCACCUGACUGUUAGACCGACUGGUCGAACAGAGAUGAAUGUCGGCCAUAGUGAUCUGGGAGUCCCGUAUGGAAGGGCUCUUAGUGAUUUGGGAGUCCCGUAUGGAAGGGCUCUCGCUCAACAGAUCAAAGGUACGCCGGGGAUAAUAGACUGAUGGCUCCUAAGAGCUCUUAUUGACGGAGUCGUUUGGCAUCUCGAUGUCGACUUAUCACAUCCUGGGGUUGAAAAAGGUCCCAAGGGUUUAGUUGUUCACUGAUUCAAGUGGUACGUGAGUUGGGUUUAUAACGUCGUCAGAAAGUUCGAUUCCUAUCUACCAUUGGUGUUAAAGGGAGAACUACGAGGAGCCAACCCUAGCACGAGAGGACUGGGUUAGGCCAACCUAUGGUGUACCGGUUGUUAUGCCAAUAGCAGCGCCGAGCAGCUAAGUUGGUAUGGAAGAACUGCAGCGCCACGGGAAAUCCUUCUCUAUACAAGUUCUCGAACGAGGUUUUUGAACAGAACUUUGAUAGGCGAGAGGUGUAAGCACCGUGAGGUGUGAAGCGAUCUCAUACUAAACGAAAUGAUUUUCACUU